UCGGGUGUGGUGUACGGAACACCGUGCGUCAUUAUAGUCUUGGAGGCGUGAUUCUAGCGCGUAGUCCGGGGUUCGACUCCCUGCGCCCGAA